CAGUACAAAUUUCAUUAGACCACCCACUUAAAAAAAAAUCCGAGAAAUCCCUCCAUUAGACCCUCCAACCUUCGACAGCUUGAUCUCGUGAACGUUCGUUUAUUCAUUAUUCUUGAAACACCUUGUAAAAGUUAAUGAUAAAGAUAAUAAUGGUCACAUAAGAUGCGUGUGCAUAGUUUAGAAGCCGAUGAUAGUAUUCCCUCUAACUGCUAGUACUAUAUUUCCAAAGUUCAUCAACAUUCCAUUAACGUGAUAAUGUAAAGGACACUUGUUUCUGCACUGUGCUGUUCAAUAUAAACUGGGCAAAGCAUAAGCAAUACUUCCGUGAUCUGGUAUUGAGUGGUUGUGGGCUAGUGUGUGCGUGCUGCAUGUAUGUGGCGUACAUUUUAAACUAUACGAUUUCUCUGCCGAGGAAGAAGUUGGUGGAAAGAAGGAAGAUAAACGAUGGAUAUUUAAUGAAUUCAAUAUUCGUAAGCCGCUGCGAAAGGGGGAAUUUGGUAACGUCUUUUUUGCAAGACAGGAGGAGGACAAUAAGUUCAUUUUUGCCUGGUGGCUUUACUAGAGAAUGAGCGGAAUUGGAAAGAUAGGGCCAACUAUGGCUUGAAGAGCUCGGCAUGGGAACAUCAAUGCUACAAGAACUAAAUGAUUCGGAAUAAAAUUUAUUUGGAGAUCGUCUUAGCUGCUGCUGCAAUAAGACGUUCUGGAGUGUUUAGUAAUUGCGUCUCGAGGAAUUAAGGAUAUUUCCAAGGCAAUAAAAUCUAGGGAAUAUCUUAAAAAAGCGAUCUUCUUGGCAAAUUAAACUUUGGAUCUUUUAAAAAAUAUAAUAUACAAAUUUUCUCCUCUAGUAGAGAUGCAACAAUGUUCAACUGAAGUAGAGUUGAUUGUGAAACUAGAGUAUCAUGGAUGAAAAAGCAUUCUAGUUCAGGUAGUAUGGAUCAAAAUAAGUAAUCUGAAGAAGAAUAUGCCAAAAACAUAUCCCAUGUAAAAUCCUCAGAAAUGAUUUAUUUACCAAUAGAUCAUUCUUUCACUUGUUUGAUGAGGAUCACAGGUUGAAUGUGGAUACACUUCACAAAUUUGUAGUCUUCGAUAAUGAUGAGAGUGAGCUGAAGUAUGCAGAACGUAGGAAAUCCGAGGGAUAUACAUUUGCCUUCCAUGGAAGUCAUAUAUCAAACUGGUACUCUAUGAUAAGAAAUGGCUUAAAGUGCUUUACUAAGACAAGCCACAUCUCUUCUGGAAGGAAACAGGAAUUGAGUUUUUUGCACUCUUCAUCACGAAGCUGGAACACAACAGUAUUGGGAAGAAAAGUUGCAGGAAGCAAUAUAAACUUGGUUAUUCCUUGUGAAAAGAAAAAUGAUGUUGUCAUACGCUAUUUCAUGCUACGUGCAACGCAACUUAUAAAUUCAAAAGCAAGAAGGAUACAAGUAAUGCAGCGACAUGCUUUCAGGAAAUAUCAAUUUGUACAAACAUUAUGAGCAGUUAAGAUAAAAAUAUUGUGAAAAGAUGUUAAAUCCAAAAUGUUUCUAAAUAGUAGUAUCAUGGCAAUCGACAUGAUGUUGGAUACAUCCAUCCUAUGCACGAGCUUGCUACUGAAUAAAGGCUCUCAUGAGCUCAUUAAUGUAGAUUAAUGUAGAUCCCAAAGAGGGUGUGACAGAUGGAGGCCUUGCUCGACUCCAAUAGUAAUCUCAAGUUCUAAUUCAAUUGGAAUCUCUAUGGGUUGUACGAAACCUUCGUAUGAUUGUUGCUAAUUCUAGAUUUAUAUUUUAGUUAUGCAUUUUCCAUUGGUUCCAA